UGGGGAAUUUUGGACAAUGGGCGAAAGCCUGAUCCAGCAAUGCCGCGUGUGUGAAGAAGGCCUUCGGGCUGUAAAGCACUUUUGUCCGGAAAGAAAUCCUUGGCUCUAAUACAGUCGGGGGAUGACGGUACCGGAAGAAUAAGCACCGGCUAACUACGUGCCAGCAGCCGCGGUAAUACGUAGGGUGCAAGCGUUAAUCGGAAUUACUGGGCGUAAAGCGUGCGCAGGCGGUUUGCUAAGACCGAUGUGAAAUCCCCGGGCUCAACCUGGGAACUGCAUUGGUGACUGGCAGGCUAGAGUAUGGCAGAGGGGGGUAGAAUUCCACGUGUAGCAGUGAAAUGCGUAGAGAUGUGGAGGAAUACCGAUGGCGAAGGCGAGCCCCUGGGCCCAAUGAACUGACGCUCAUGCACGAAAGCGUGGGGAGCAAACAGGAUUAGAUACCCUGGUAGUCCACGCCCUAAACGAUGUCAACUAGUUGUUGGGGAUUCAUUUCCUUAGUAACGUAGCUAACGCGUGAAGUUGACCGCCUGGGGAGUACGGUCGCAAGAUUAAAACUCAAAGGAAUUGACGGGGUCAUAGCUGUUUCCU
rnacentral:rRNA from 1 species